rfam:Rattus norvegicus chromosome 10, whole genome shotgun sequence.
GGGGAUUUAGCUCAGCGGUAGAGCACUUGCCUAGUGAGCAUAAGGCCCUGGGUUCGGUCCCCAGCUCCG